rnacentral:lncRNA from 1 species
UUUGUAAUGGCAUGCAUGUAACCUAUAUAAGCAUGCAUGUUUGCUUUUCUUGAUGCUUCCUUUGUAUGGAAUAAAUGUGUCGGUCAUGUCAUGAUGAAUGGGUCUUAUUAUAUUAAUGUUGUAAUGCAAAUUAAAUAUUUCUGAAUUAUACAAGUUUGGUGUGCCAAAUAACACAUUAACUAUAGUAGGUAGUAUAUGUUGGAUAAUUAUUUAAUUAAU